ACAGAAGUAUGAUAUUUUUGUUAAAUAUGUCAUGUAAUUAGGUCAAGGUUAACAAAUAAUAUACGAAUACGUUAUCCUGCUGUUUGGUAACGACUUAAAUUAAUAUGAAAGAAAAAAUAAUGAGGAUCAUCAACAUUUGAAAGUUGUAUUGUCUAUUUUCAGACAGAAGACAUGCCAUGGAGAUGUAACCAAUGCAACAGGCUCACUUGCACACUGCUUAAUAUAAUAUUGAGCUUAUACUUGUAAAUUUGGGACAUCAAACUUGCAAUCUCAUAAUGCAAAUGAACACAUGAGAUACUAAAUGGUGGAUACUGCUCCACAUAAAUCAUCUCCAAUCCAGUACACCUCUUUUUCUAAUUAGAGUAUGAGUUCGGCCAUUUCGACUUUUCUUCCAACGCGGUGUGGUCGUUACUCUUGCACAAUUGAGAGUAAGGAUUGCACAAAAUGGUGAAUGGAAGAAUACCUUCAGUUUUCUCAAAAACUUAUGUUACCCCAAGAAGACCUUAUGAAAAGGCUCGUUUAGAUCAAGAAUUACGAAUUAUUGGUGAAUAUGGUCUUCGCAACAAGCGUGAAGUAUGGAGAGUUAAAUAUACUCUCGCAAAUAUCCGAAAAGCUGCUCGAGAACUUCUUACUUUAGAAGAGAAGGAUCCUAAACGUUUAUUUGAGGGAAAUGCUCUUUUACGACGUUUGGUAAGAAUUGGAGUGCUAGAUGAAAGCCGUAUGAAGCUUGAUUAUGUUCUUGGUUUGAAGAUUGAAGAUUUCUUAGAAAGACGACUUCAAACUCAAGUAUUUAAAUUGGGACUUGCUAAGUCUAUACAUCAUGCUCGUGUACUUAUUCGUCAACGUCACAUUAGGUGUUCAUACACUUUUCCUGAUUGAUUGUUUCUUCAAAAUGAUAGAAAAAAUAUGACUUAAAUAUUGGAUGGGUAGCUAAGAUGCUCAAGAAUGUGGAGCAAUACAUAUUAUAAUAUUUUCUUUCAGGCAGGCCACUUAAGUGUUAGUGAAACUACACUUAACGUCUGUUAUAUAUUAAUGGAUAUAUAUUCAUUUUAAAAAUAAUUGAGUACGCAAACAAGUGGUGAACAUUCCAUCUUUCAUUGUAAGAUUGGAUUCACAGAAACAUAUUGACUUUUCGCUAAAAUCUCCAUUUGGUGGUGGUAGACCUGGUCGUGUAAAGAGGAAGAAUCUGCGUAAAGGAAGUGGAGGAGCUGCUCCAGAGGAAGAAGAAGAUUAAAUAAUUUUUUGUAAUACUUUAUACUAAUAAAAGUAUGUCUUAAAUGUUA